AAAACCUUGAGGAAGAGGACCUUGUGGAAGUAGGGGACUCUUUUCCCUUCUCUCCUUGAGUAUCAAGAGCCAUUUGGAGCUGGAAGAAGAAUUUGGAAAUGGGAGAAAAGGAGCUUGCUCUCCUCCCCUUGAGUAUGAAGUUUUUUGGAAAUGGAAGAUGCUGUUGGGAUGCAGUGUUUUUCUCCUUCUCAAUUAUGCUGUCCCAGAGGCUCUGCCACUGCUGCUGGUGGGCUUAGCUGUGGCCAGUGGCAUUGGCUCCAUUUGUUGUAGCGAAAGCUUCUGGCAACAUCCUGUAGAAUCCUACAGGCAACAUUCAGACGACCUAAGGCGUUCCAAGUGAUGGACUGUUGCCUUAAUUUGGGCCUGUUUAAACUAAAGUAGAGAAGAUGGAGUAAGGAUAUGAUAAAAGUCUUCAAAUAUUUGGAAAACUGAGGCAAACUACCAGGAAUUCUUUUUUUAGCAUGCCCAUGUAGUAGAAAUAAUGAGCUUAUAUUGCACAGAUUAGAUGUUAGGAAAACCUUUCUAGCAUAAAGGAUGCUGGUAAGUUUCUGUAGACUGCUGGAAAAUUUAUGCUGUUCAUAGGCAUAUUUGAUGAGUUCUCACAGCUAUGUUGGAUGAAUAUCUGUUAAUAAUGGACUUUUAGAACUACUGUGGAUUAGAGGUAGGUGUUGGACUGGAUCAGCGACUAGGGGAACCCUUCGGAUUCCUUCCAGGAUCCUAAGGUCUCCCCUAGUCCCUGAUCCCUUCCAUGUGUUUCUGCGUACUUAAAUGCCUUGUGGAGCCCGAUCAGCUGGGAGGAAAAUUAUUUCUCUAUCAUCAGACAAAAACUUCAAUAACUAGCAAACAAAAACAGUUAUCAGCUAGAUGAUGAGUCCUUGAGAACACAUUUAAAGACCAAGAGAGGUACUAAGACUGGGUUAUAAUGGCAUCAGUUAUUAUUUUGUAUAAUAGGAAAGUAACUUGUGGAGAACAAAGUAAGAGUUUAUGUUGCAGGAGCACCCUUGACCCAUUUUCUGGAGCUGGGAUUCUCACAGAGAUAAUACCGAGAUAUUGGAAAGAGUUUACUGUGCUUCCAGAAGAUUGACACCCAGAUGACUUACAAGAAACAACAUGUGGAUGAAGAAAUUGGUAGAAUUGGAUAGUGGGAGGAUGAGCUCAUUCACAGAAUAGCUAUCAACCAAUGAAUCUAUUCUUGGCCAAGCAUUACUGUCUGGCAGUGCUUGGUAGGCCUUGUGGCAAAAGCAAGCCUUGAGAUGGGACGAAAUCCAAAUUUAAUACCUCUUUGAGUUAAACACACUCUAAUCUUAUUAAAUUAUUAGGGGAAUUUCAGGGAAUUUUAGCGGGACAGGUGAAGGAGCAAGCGGUAACGCUCAGUGGACUAUUUUCUGCAGAAACCUGUUCUUACUGCAGGAAAGGCACCAAGGAGGGGAGAGCAAAUUCCUCCUUGUGCUGGCUGCAGUGGCAGCACACUGGUGUUGGUCAGUGAGAGGCUUGGAUGUGCCCAAGCAGAGUGUGUCCUCCUUGGGCAUCUGUUUAAAGGGGGACGGCAGGGUGUGCCCUGGCCAAGGUUAUUCCACCACCUUUGCCAUGCACAAUUAAAGAACCCAAUGGCUUCAGUGCUGGAAAUUACUCUCAGAACCCUUAGGUUCCAGAACUGAUUCUCACAGAUUUUAAGUUUAGCCAUAAUGAGGUAGUUCACUGUCAUUUUUGUCUUUUUCUUCUUAAAUAAAAUUUGUUUGCUUAUUACAGCAAGAUUUUGAGGAUUGGUGAAUUACAUGUAGAGUUUGAAAAUAAAUUGCUGGUCAUUGUUGUCAAUAAAACUAUGAAAACCUAUAUCUGAGUACUAUAUAACAAACAUUAAUUACAUGAAUUAUUUCAGGAAUAUAUGUGGGGAACACAUUUUUUCUUUCUACUUUUAGAAUUAGCUUUAUUUGCAUUUCAUUUUAUUUGUGUUAUUCUUUGGGCUAUUUAAAAAUCCUUUGGAGUUAAACAUGACAAGUUGUAUGUGUGCAUUGGAAUAUGAUUUACCACAUUUUUCCCAUGCUAUGAGUGUAUGAAUUCCUGCUUACAUAAGAAAAUAUUUGAACAUAAAAAGCAAUAAUUUGGAAUCAGAUUGUGCAGGAUGAAUCAUGAGACAAAAUCUCCUUAGAGAUCCAAAAACAUAUUCUGGUAUUUCUGCCAGAGUGUUUUCAUAAAAUAUUUUUUUCUUGAAAGGAAGUGCUCAGAAGGUAAUAAAUAAAAAUCAUAAUAAAAGGCAAGCAAAAGUUGCAACUUGAUUUUGCAAAUUGUCUGUGUUAAAUGAAAGAAGAAAUAUACCUUUGUCCUCAUAUAGAUUACUUUUCCAAGCCCCUCCUGAAUCACAGUUAAAGAAAAAGCUUCUAUUUUGGUGUCUCACUUCUUUUGUUGCUUAAAUAUAAAUAG